AGAGUUUGAUCCUGGCUCAGAACGAACGCUGGCGGCGCGUUUUAAGCAUGCAAGUCGAACGGUAGAGUUACUUCGGUAACUUGAGAGUGGCGAACGGGUGAGUAAUACGUAGAUGAUUUGUCUUGAAGUUGGGGAUAGCUCAUAGAAAUAUGGGGUAAUACCGGAUAAUCUCAUUAAACUUUGGUUUUUUGAGGAAAGGGGCUUCGGCCUCGCUUUGAGAUGAGUCUGCGGCUUAUUAGCUAGUUGGUAGGGUAAAGGCCUACCAAGGUGAUGAUAAGUAGCCGGCCUGAGAGGGUGAUUGGCCACAUUGGGACUGAGAUAUGGCCCAAACUCCUACGGGAGGCAGCAGCUAAGAAUUUUCCGCAAUGGGCGUAAGCCUGAUGGAGCGACGCCGCGUGGACGAAGAAUGCCGAGAGGUUGUAAAGUCCUUUUAUAUGCGAAGAAUAAUGCCUGUAGGAAAUGACAGGCAGAUGAUGUUAGUUUAUGAAUAAGCUCCGGCGAAUUAUGUGCCAGCAGUUGUGGUAAUACGUAAGGAGCGAGCGUUGUUCGGAAUUAUUGGGCGUAAAGGGCAUGUAGGCGGUCAUGUAAGUCCGAUGUGAAAUACCACAGUUUAAUUGUGGAAACGCAUUGGAAACUGUGUGACUUGAAUCAGUGAGGGGUAACCGGAAUUUUUAGUGUAGGGGUGAAAUUUGUUGAUAUUAGAAAGAAUAUUGAUGGUGAAGGUAGGUUACUGGUAUAUGAUUGACGCUGAGAUGCGAAAGCGUAGGGAGCGAACAGGAUUAGAUAUCCUGGUAGUUUACGCUGUAAACGAUGUACACUUGGUGUCGGGGUUUUUAAGCCUCGGUGCCGUAGCUAAUGUGUUAAGUGUACCGCCUGGGGAGUAUGCCGGUAAUGGUGAAACUCAAAGGAAUUGACGGGGGCCCGCACAAGCGGUGGAGCAUGUGGUUUAAUUCGAUUAUAUGCGAGAAACCUUACCAGGGUUUGACAUAUUUAUGAUUGUCUUAGAGAUAAGAUUUUCCCUUCGGGGAUAUUUAUACAGGUGUUGUAUGGUUGUCGUCAGCUCGUGCCGUGAGGUGUUGGGUUAAGUUUUGUAACGAGCGCAACCCCUGUUGUCUGUUACCAUUAUUAAGUUGGGGAUUUAGGCAAGACUGCCGGUGAUAAACCGGAGGAAGGUGGGGACGACGUCAAAUCAUCAUGGCCCUUAUAUCCUGGGCUACACACGUGCUACAAUGCCGGUACAAAGUGAAGCGAAGCCGUGAGGUGAAGCAAAACGCAUAAAGCCGGUCUCAGUUCGGAUUGGAGUCUGAAAUUUGACUCCAUGAAGGUGGAAUCGCUAGUAAUCGCGCAUCAGUAUGGCGCGGUGAAUACGUUCCCGGGCCUUGUACACACCGCCCGUCACACCACCCGAGUUGGGGGUACCCGAAGCCGCUAGUCUAACCUGCAAAGGAGGACGGCGCCGAAGGUAUGCCUGGUAAGGGGGGUGAAGUCGUAACAAGGUA
rnacentral:rRNA from 1 species